ensembl:lncRNA
GUCAGUGAAGGGUGGAGGGCAUGUGCGUCUGUGCUUGUGUGUGCACGUGCUGCUGGUCUUGUGGGACCACACAGCCUCUCAGAGGAGCUGCCAUCCAGUGGCCGAGUCAGGGCAGCUGCAGCCAGCAGGAGGAGCUGAUGGGCAUCAUUGCUGCCCAAGGCCUCCAGGGCCACUUAAUCCUACAACCCCCGAGCCUUCGAGCUGGGUUGGUUAACCUUGCUUUGAAGAAAAUGCAUUAUAUCUCAGGCCUGGGGUCAGGAGGCUACUGGGAGAAGACCCUGGUCUCUGAGCCACCUGAAGGUGCCCUUUGCCCAGAUGGGGUAGGAGAGACGUUCCCAGUGGUCCUGCAUCAGGGCCCAGGCUCCCCUCCCAGAGCGUGUGACCAGCAAGGGGCCCCUAAAUCAUCAGUGAAAAUGCUUUGGACAGGAGAGGAAGGACCUUCAGAAGCCAGUAGCCUGGGCUCAUCCUUUGUCGUGAGCCUUGUUCUCACGGCCUGCCUGAAGUCCGACGCCCAGAGGCUGGCGGAAGCUGCUGGGUCCACGGCUGCCGAAGGAGGAGCUGGAACGUGAACGCCGGCAGAACUUUGCCCAUGUCUGAGAUUUCUAGAACCUUCUUCCCCCUGCAGGCUUUUGUGCCUUCUGCCCCUUUUGCCUCCCGGCCCUUUGUUUAGUGACUUCCUGCCGGUCCUCGGGUGACCCUUGGACACACUGGGGUGCGCCCCCUGCCGGGGCUGGGACCCUUUUCUGCCUUCCCCAGCCUGUUCUCCGUACCCUAGACUGCGGAGUCUUGGGGCUCGUCACCUCUGUGUCCCCCAACACCAUGCACAGUGGCUCCCCCAGAGCAAGCACUCUAUAAUUUAUUCACUUAAUGAGCAUUUCUGGAUUUAGGGAGUAAUGUGGCUCAGCUGGUAAAGAAUCUGCCUGCAAUGCGGGAGAAGGGAAAGGCUACCCACUCCAGUAGUCUGGCC